rnacentral:rRNA from 1 species
GACGAACGCUGGCGGCGUGCUUAACACAUGCAAGUCGAACGGAAAGGCCCUGCUUUUGUGGGGUGCUCGAGUGGCGAACGGGUGAGUAACACGUGAGUAACCUGCCCUUGACUUUGGGAUAACUUCAGGAGACUGGGGCUAAUACCGGAUAGGAGCUCCUGCUGCAUGGUGGUGGUUGGAAAGUUUCGGCGGUUGGGGAUGGACUCGCGGCUUAUCAGCUUGUUGGUGGGGUAGUGGCUUACCAAGGCUUUGACGGGUAGCCGGCCUGAGAGGGUGACCGGCCACAUUGGGACUGAGAUACGGCCCAGACUCCUACGGGAGGCAGCAGUGGGGAAUAUUGCACAAUGGGCGGAAGCCUGAUGCAGCAACGCCGCGUGCGGGAUGACGGCCUUCGGGUUGUAAACCGCUUUCGCCUGUGACGAAGCGUGAGUGACGGUAAUGGGUAAAGAAGCACCGGCUAACUACGUG